rnacentral:misc_RNA from 1 species
GAAGUGGUCUGCCAAGUUCUCUUGGCCGCCCUUCUCCCUCUCUCAUCGGAUACACAUGCCCCCACAUCCGCGGCGAGCACCAACACACACUCACAAGGGCGGAAAUCUGUUCACAAGCGCAUCCAUUGCACGCUGAGCGGCCCUCCUCGAUCAAAUGGAUGCCCCUUUCUCCCUGGGGAGCGACAGCUCUCUCACGAGCCUGCUCCUCGCCGCCGUCGUGCCGUUCCUGUGCCUGCGGGCCUUCCCCUUCCUUUUCCACGCGUGGCCCAACUUUCUUUAUCUGUGGCUCACCUCGUGUUUUGAUAGGCAAGUUGCCAUGGUCAUGGAGCGAGUGAGCCCCAAUCGCGUUAUCCAGGACGAUAUUAUGAUUCGCAGCAUUAUGGGAUACGUCUCCCACUGCUACGUGCGCAGCAUGCAGCGCGGCGCCGACGCGUGCGAUGCCGUGGCCACGGCGGACUACGAAUACAGCUUCCUUUUUGACAAGUCGGACAUGUUCGAAGAGGACUGGGUGCCCUACUCGACACGCUUCCGCUCGCUCUUCGGACGCGUGAUUGCCUCUUGCAUGGAGCUUUCCGUUGUCCCCAGCUACGGGCAUUCCAUCCAAGUGGAGCCCGGACUCUUCGUGCGCUUUCUUCCUAACAGGCACGCGCGAGGUGGCCGCAGAGACGAAGAUGGGCGGUGGUCGGAGGAGAGCCAGCAGAGCUCGGAGUGCCCGAACGGUGGUAAACGGCCUGGUGCCGCGGCAAGCGAGCUCAACCAGGUUGACAAGUUGAACAUGUACAUGUUCUACAGCAUGCGCAGGUACGCGGAAAGCAUGGAUGAUCAUCCGGAGCCGUGCGUGGAUGGCAGAGCAGGUGCGGUCAUCUCCGAGGAGCGCCCCUUUGACCCCGGGACGCAGAGCAAUGCAGACCGAGGCAGGGGCGGCGGUGGCGGCAGCAGCAGCAGCAGCACGCAGUCAGCGUCGACCUUUUUCGAAGACCCCAAACAACCACCUGAAGACCGCGUCGUCGUGCUCGAGUAUCGUCGACCGCUCCCGCACGAGCAUUCACAGGCUCUAUGCAACAGCAGCAACACUCGUGGCGGCGCUAGCAAGUACGACGCGUCGCAGUCGGCGGAAGACGUGAUCGAAGGCUUUCUGGGGCGUGUCCACACGUGGUACCUAGGGCACGUGGCGCAGAGCAAGCGAGCAGCGCUCUUAGUGAUCUAUCCAUCGCUGCUGAUGGCACAAUUCACGAAGAUGGGCACCAUGGCACCAAAAAUGCGCAAUAUAAAUCCACAUGCCGAGUUCUCCGGAAAGUACUAUGUGCUAGAAAGUGCUGCACUGGGGAGCGAGGAAAUCACGGGCGCGGCGGCUGCCAGCUCCGCAUCGUUUUCUGUGAAUGCGGGAACGAAAGCAGGCGACAGCACCACCGUCACCGUCGUGCGGGAACUGGCGACGACGACGACGACGGGAGGUCACGUGGGCCUCCGCGGCGCCGAACUGUCAAGCGGGUCGCGAGGCAAAACGUUCAACUCGCUCUUCUUUCCUGGAAAGACACGCGUCCUGUCGAUGAUUGACGACUUUGUGGAGGAGCGUGGCCGCUUCGGUGUGCCGGGAGUCGUACCUCGACUUACCUUCUUCCUGCACGGAGCACCUGGCACGGGCAAGACGUCUUUUGUGAAGGCUCUGGCGCGGCAUCUCCGGCGCAACCUCGUGGUGGUCUCCAUGAGCGAGAUCAUCACGGUGAACGAGUUGCAGAGAGUUCUGCAGCCCUUCGACAUGGAGCUGAGAGAGGGUGGGGAAAGCCGCAGCAGGGGUACAGGGCCUCUAAGCGUCCGCCCGCAUCAGUCCGUGUACGUCUUCGAAGACUUCGAUGCGAUCGGUGACGCCUGGGAGGCUUUGAUAAACAUGCAAGCGCGGCAGAGGAAGCUGGCGGGGGAGCGGCAGCUGGGGAAGUGGACGAAGUCCUCUGGCGGCAAGGUGAGAGGCAGCGAUGACGGUGAUGGUGACAAGUCGCAGGCGGCUUCACCUUCCUCAUCUGCGGGCUCAAGAUCUGGCGAGUCUUUCGACAGUCACGAGGACUACGGCAGCGACAGCGACGACGGCGACUCGGAGUGCAGGGGCACGUUUCUACUGAGAGAUAGCGUGCCAGAGGAGCUCACCCGAGACCAUCUCACGGUAGAGCGCUUCAUUGACCUCUUCAACGGAUUGAACCUGCCCGACUCCUUCAUCGCCGUCUUCACCACGAAUCAUCCAGAGAGGAUCAACCCGCUUAUCGCGUCCUCGUCCGUGAUGGAUGUGACGUUGAACAUGGGGAUGCUCGAUGAUGAAUGUGCGACGCAGAUGGUCGAGCACUACUAUGCUGCCGAGCUCGCCGAUCAAACGGUGGACGGCGGCGGCCGACGGCACCUCUCCACCUCACAGCUCGCGGCUCUGCGUGCGGCACUGCGGGUGUUUAAUGCCAGCUCCACUGGACUGAGCGGGGCGCUGCUGGAGAAGAUGUGCGUCGAGUGCGACACAGUCGCCGCCUUGACGGCACGCCUGAGCUCAGUGGACUCUUUUGACGCGGUGGACGUGUUUUAGGGGGCGCCUCUCUAAAGUUACACGUGCGCGCAAUCUCGCGCGAUGUGCGGGCACGGCGGCCCGCCAAUGCUGCUUUAGUCGCCUCUUUAAAUCGUUACCCGCGACGGCAUGUCGGCGUCUCCAUCUCCCUCUCCCUCUCUAUGUGCCUGUGCACGUGCGUGUGUUGGGUGCAUCCUCUGCUCCGCUGCGGCCUUUCGCCACCCCCCCCCUUCCUGAUCGGCUCUGUGCGACGCGGCCAUUUUCUUCUUCGCUCGGCCGUUGUGGAUUUCGCGUUGAACUCCCGUCCUGCCCUCUUUGGCCGUGUGUGAGCGCGGAACGCGUCCCCGUGCUGCAGGACCCUUCGCGGUGUGUGUUGGGUGAAGAAGAACCCGGCGUGCUCUGUGGGCGGGCGUGUGGUGCGGCUGUAUCGCCCUCUACGCUUCUGUUGCACGCACAGCCCCGCGCCGGCCCUGCUGGUCCGCUCCUUCUCGCGGUCUUCCACCACCAGCACCAACAGACACCCCCUUCUCCUCCAGUGUUGUUGCUGCCGCUGCGGAUGCUGUUGCCGGGGCCGAGGACAGAGACAUGUGUAGAAGCAGGGCGAGAGAAGCGCAAGCAAUCACAUGCGCACGUCGGCUAGCACGCGUAGCCCACCCCCUUCACCCAUCCAACCAUACGCAGCACCCCCCCAGCAUGGACGAAAG